GCGCGCUUAGCUCAGCGGGAGAGCGCCUGUUUUACAAGCAGGAUGUCGGCCGUUCGAUCCGGUCAGCGCGCACCA
rnacentral:tRNA from 1 species